rnacentral:rRNA from 1 species
GACGAACGCUGGCGGCGUGCUUAACACAUGCAAGUCGAACGGAAAGGCCCUGCUUUUGUGGGGUGCUCGAGUGGCGAACGGGUGAGUAACACGUGAGUAACCUGCCCUUGACUUUGGGAUAACUUCAGGAAACUGGGGCUAAUACCGGAUAGGAGCUCCUGCUGCAUGGGGGGGGUUGGAAAGUUUCGGCGGUUGGGGAUGGACUCGCGGCUUAUCAGCUUGUUGGUGGGGUAGUGGCUUACCAAGGCUUUGAAGGGUAGCCGGCCUGAGAGGGUGACCGGCCACAUUGGGCCUGAGAUACGGCCCAGACUCCUACGGGAGGCAGCAGUGGGGAAUAUUGCACAAUGGGCGGAAGCCUGAUGCAGCAACGCCGCGUGCGGGAUGACGGCCUUCGGGUUGUAAACCGCUUUCGCCUGUGACGAAGCGUGAGUGACGGUAAUGGGUAAAGAAGCACCGGCUAACUACGUG